UUUUGUUUGUCAUGGAAAUGUAAGAGUGGA
rnacentral:piRNA from 1 species